AGAAUAAUGUCCUUAUGUUUAAUGUGAAUCUCAUGAUUAAGUCAUACUUUAUACAUUAAACAGACUGGCUAUUCUAGGGACUUUAUUAAACAAACGUAAUAAAGAAAAAGCCUUUUAUUAUUAAUAAAUAAUUCGAUACAAGUACCAAAAGUAUUGGCCUCUAGGGCUUACACCAACAAUCUCCCACUAGCACUAGAGCCAAUCAGGCAUACCCUUAAUACCCAUAGACCUAGUAUGGCAUCAUGCUUCUGCUGCGCAAGAG
rnacentral:lncRNA from 1 species